rnacentral:rRNA from 1 species
GAUGAACGCUGGCGGCGUGCCUAAUACAUGCAAGUCGAGCGAACAGACGAGGAGCUUGCUCCUUUGACGUUAGCGGCGGACGGGUGAGUAACACGUAGGUAACCUACCUAUAAGACUGGGAUAACUUCGGGAAACCGGAGCUAAUACCGGAUAAUAUUUCGAACCGCAUGGUUCGAUAGUGAAAGAUGGCUUUGCUAUCACUUAUAGAUGGACCUGCGCCGUAUUAGCUAGUUGGUAAGGUAACGGCUUACCAAGGCAACGAUACGUAGCCGACCUGAGAGGGUGAGCGGCCCCAGUGGAACGAGGACACGGUCCAACCUCCGACGGGGGGCAGAAGUGGGGAAUUUUCCACAAGGGGCGAAGGCCGGAGGGAGCAACGCCGCGUGAGUGAAAAAGGUUUUCGGAUUGAAAAACUCUUUAAUUGGGAAAGAACAAACGUAAAGUAACCUCUGCCCGUCUUGAGGUUCCCAAAAAAAAAGCCCCGGCCAAAUUCCGUG